ensembl:lncRNA
UGUUACACACGCUUACACAGUGUUGCACGCUGUAACACACCGUUGCACGCUGUUACACACGCUUACACAAUGUUGCAUGCUGUUGAUAUACAUGCUUAGGCACUUCAUAAAUGUGUGUAAUGGCGUGUAACAGUGUGUAACGGCGUGUAACGGUGUAUAAAUGUGUGUAACGGCGUGUAACAGUGUGUAACGGCGUGUAACAGUGUGUAAAUGUGUGUAACGGCGUGUAACAGUGUGUAAUGGUGUAUAAAUGUGUGUAACGGCAUGUAACGGUGUAUAAAUGUGUGUAACGGCGUGUAAUAGUGUGUAAAUGCAUGUAACAGUGUGUAAAUGCAUGUAACGGUGUGUAAAUGUGUGUAACGGUGUAUAAAUGUGUGUAACGGCGU